rnacentral:rRNA from 1 species
UACGUAGGUGGCAAGCGUUGUCCGGAUUUAUUGGGCGUAAAGCGCCCGCAGGCGGCUCGUCGCGUCAGCUGUGAAAUUCCGUGGCUUAACUGCGGGCUUGCAGCUGAUACUGUGCGACUAGAGUGCAGAAGGGGCAACUGGAAUUCUCGGUGUAGCGGUGAAAUGCGUAGAUAUCGAGAGGAACACCUGCGGCGAAGGCGGGUUGCUGGGCUGACACUGACGCUGAUGCGCGAAAGCCAGGGGAGCGAACGGG